AAUGUGGGUGGGUAGGGUGGUCCCUGUGUUGUACGGUAUUCUGUACGCCAGCUUCCGUCGUUCGAAGGAUGGAACGAUAGCAUCGUCGUCGUCGUCGCCGUCGUUUAAUAGCUAAUUACGGACGGUGAAAUUUAAUUUGGUUACGGUGACGGGCGGGAAAAUUGAAAUUGAAAAACCGAACGCAGCCCUCCUUUUACCGGGCGUAUAUGAUGUGAACAAAAGAAGGAAUUCGCAUCUGUCGAGUGGCGCUGUAUGGGUUUUGUGAAGCAUAAAAAUGCAUAGUAAUGUUAAAUUACUGCAUUAAAGUGUUUUGAGGUAGAAUGAAGCUUCCCAGGCCGUUUCUAUUGCAUUCCAUCGAUAAUAAAUUCCAAUUCCGUGUGCACGAAAAACCUGUUUCAAGCGCAGCUACAGCCCAACCCAGUCCCAGCCCAGUCCCAGCUGCCCAUGCGAACGAAUAAACUAACCAAGAAUAUGUUCUGCUGAAACACACCGUCCAGCAAACCGAAAGUCCAAGAUGUCGGUGGACCCCACGAGAUGAACAGAUUAAAGGCGAAUCAUAAGCGAAGGGCGUGCAGCACGAAAGGGUACCCAUUGGUCGUGGGGGGAGAAAAGCAUAAAUCAUCGCAAAAAAAAAGGGAUUGGCAUCCGCGACCGUAUCAACAAGCGAAACAAGCGAACGCACUUUCCGUGGUAGCGGUCCGUUCCUGGUGGUUCUUGUGUGGCCAGACGAGAAGACGGUACGACGAACCAGUUCAAGCGCUGAACUGAACCGUGACAAAUGCCAUCCCAUCCAAUCCCAAUCGGUUAGUAAGUCAUGUGCAAUCGUAGUGGGCUGUGGUUGCCUGCUUGCAUUCUAGGAUGUUUAAACCCUUGGAUGUAGUACCCACACAGAGAGCAGCGCGCUGAAGUUAGAAAGGAAGGUGGUAAAAUGGAUGUGACAGCACAGAUUUACGCCACCUAAUCGUCCAGCUGUGCUCCAGCUUCUCCUACUUCUACUGCCAAGCCGGAAGUCUGCCACUGAUGACAGCUGAGGAACCGUGCCCCUCUGGACCUUGUUGGCCGGUCGGUCGUUUGGUUCGUUUUCUUUGCCUUUCCGGAGGCUUGGCGUUCAUGAAGACGGGCACGAUUCUACCAAGAAUCGUUGCUCACGCUUUGGUCCUGAGUUCCGGACGAGCCUCUUUACUCUGGUUCAUUCUGUUGCGCUCUUUCAUUCUUUCUGCCAAAGACAUGGAACGGAAAUUUCCACUUUUCUGCCUUUUCUAACCGGGUUGGCCUGGGGAGAGAGAGGAAACGGGGGCAAAGUUUCACGCUAAUGGCGUUGAUGUCUUUAUUCAACCGUACUCACUCAAGCGUGCAUCCGUAGUAUUACGUACCAGCUUCCACAAGAGCAGGGAUUACGGAAUGGCCUCCGAUUGUUCACGAUGAUGAUGAUGGUGAUGAGCGAUAGAAGAGGAAGCCAUCCUCACCAUUUGGAUGCGACUGCCACUACCGGGACGCAGGGGACUACGGAGUGGCGAUGAAUUAUUACAGCUUUCAGCCCAUGUCCGUAUCCUUUUGUGGUUGACUUCCCGGCCACUUCUGCGAGCUGCGAUGGGAACACUUUUCAAAACGGCCACUUGUUGCAUGCGCUUUUCGAUUCUCGAUUCCGAUGCCGGCGACGAUUUCUAGGCGAGAGAAAUGUGUCACUAUGCUUUCUUAUCUUACGCCUCUGUCUUUUCCUCCGGUUCGUGUGACAACAUCGACACAUUGACGUUGAGUGUGCGUGAUUCCUGAGUGUGGUGUGUGUUUGAAGGGAAUGGACAAAGAAAAUUACCUCCGAUUUCCCCGCUCAACCGGCGCUUUCUUUGCCUCAGUCUCUUAUUGAGUUCCAUUUUGCAGCGAUUGCCAUCCAACAGGUUGACUUCUUGAACUUUUGAGCGGAGAACUGUAGCUUAAAAAGGAUGAUGACUUACAAAGAAUUUAAAAGUGUGUGCGUGCGUGUGUGUGAAUAUUCCUUUUUUGCCUUGUUGGAAUUAUGGUUCCGUGUUUUUCACACCCUGUUUGACGCCGUGUGACUCGUGGGAAAUGGACCUGAAAGAGCUUACAAAACAUCCUUCUACUGCUUCUUCUUCUUCUUCUUCCACCUGAUGUUUAGUAGAACACAGUUGCUUUGUACAGUAGAGUAGGAACACAGUGCAUUAGGACGUCCGCACCGUUAGCUAAUGGAGUGGAAAGUGUUUCAUCGAUAGUAUUAGCAUUAAAAUGGAAGGUUAUUGUCGUGCGACUUUCGCUUCAAGAGCAGCGAGCGGUGGACUUGGCGGAGAGAGUGUUUGUUGCACAAUUAUAUUGAGUUGCGCCUUUAAAUGCGCCCUUUGUGAGGUGAAAAAUAAUGCUUCUCCCGUAACGGUCAGUUUGAUUCACGCUAUACGCCCGCGCAUUAUGCAAUACGCACUACACGUGAAGCUUACAUUUCGUUGCUAGGGCAUUUUAGCGCCCUUCUAGCAAAUGGGUUUACUUUAUUUACCGUAUUCAAAAAGCAUUUAAUCAAGAAAGGCCAAACAUCAUUACUCGACACACUCGGACUCGGAGGGAUCGACACAUUCCUGCGCCGCCUCACUGAAAAACAGAUCCCCGAAGCAGAACGUUGGAUAGCCCGCCUCGUUAACGCACACGUAGAACUGGCGGCAGGAGUAGGGGCUCGCCACG